UACCUGGUGUGAUGCCUGCCAGUAGUCAUAUGCGUUGUGCUCAAAGACUAAGCCAUGCAUGUCUAAGUAUAAAUGAUAUACAGUAAAACUGCGAAUGGCUCAUUAAAACAGUUAUAGUUUAUUUGGUAAUCAAAAUUACAUGGAUAACCGUGGUAAUUCUAGAGCUAAUACAUGCAGUCAAACCCGACUUUUUGGAAGGGUUGUAUUUAUUAGAUAUCAGACCAAUAUUCCUUGUGUCUAUUGUGGUGAAUCAUAGUAACUGAUCGGAUCGCAUGGGCUUGUCCCGCGACAAACCAUUCAAGUUUCUGCCCCAUCAGCUUUCGAUGGUAGUGUAUUGGGCUACCAUGGCUUUUACGGGUAACGGAGGAUUAGGGUUCGAUUCCGGAGAGGGAGCCUGAGAAACGGCUACCACAUCUAAGGAAGGCAGCAGGCGCGUAAAUUACCCAAUACUGAUUCAGUGAGGUAGUGACAAGAAAUAGCGGGUCGGGAUUUUUUCCCGGGACUGAAAUGAGCCGAAUUUACACCACUUAGUGAGGAUCAAUUGGAGGGCAAGUCUGGUGCCAGCAGCCGCGGUAAUUCCAGCUCCAAUAGC
rnacentral:rRNA from 1 species